rnacentral:rRNA from 1 species
AUACGUAGGGGGCGAGCGUUAUCCGGAAUUAUUGGGCGUAAAGAGUGCGUAGGUGGUUUUGUAAGCGCGGGGUGAAAGGCAAUGGCUCAACCAUUGUAAGCCCUGCGAACUGUGAGACUUGAGUGCAGGAGAGGAAAGUGGAAUUCCUAGUGUAGCGGUGAAAUGCGUAGAUAUUAGGAGGAGCACCAGUGGCGAAGGCGGCUUUCUGGACUGUAACUGACACUGAGGCACGAAAGCGUGGGGAGCAAACAGGAUUAGAUCCCCUGGUAGUCCACGCCGUAAACGAUGAGCACUAGGUGUCGGGGUCGCAAGGCUUCGGUGCCGCAGUUAACGCAUUAAGUGCUCCGCCUGGGGAGUACGGUCGCAAGACUGAAACUCAAAUGAAUUGGCGGGG